UGGGUGUUAGUUUAUACGCAGGAACUGUUAUAAUAUUGAUUUCUUCAAUUAAAACAGUAAGGUGAUGAAAAUAAGAGAGACAUUUAAAUGGGGAGAAAAGAUUUGGUGCACCCGGGUGGAUUCGAACCACCGACCCCCACCA
rnacentral:antisense_RNA from 1 species